UUGUUUAUAAGUGCUUUAUACAUGCAAAAUAUACGAAAACAAUGUCCGUACAUAUAAAUUUCGCCCCGUAAUAUAGCAAAGAUUACGAAAAGGCCCAAAAAAGUACAUUACGGUCAAAAUUUGGAGUAGAAAAAAAAACUAUAGAAGAAUUCCAUUUUCCUUCCUAAUUCAUCGGAGAGCUCUCUUUGGGCUUUCCGAAAAGGUAUCACAUGCCAAGUUUGGCCUCACGGUAUAAAAGUUCUAGAGUCAUACAUUUUUGACCAAAAAAAAGAGGGAUGCAACACGAGGACUUUCCAGGAGGUCACCCAUCCUAGUACUACUCUCGCCCAAGCACGCUUAACUACGGAGUUCUGAUGGGAUCUAGUGCAUUAGUCCUGGUAUGAUCGCAUCCGUUACUACAUGCAGUGCAAUUGUAUCUAUUUUUUUUUAAGACUUUAUGAUCCAUUUGCCGUGGGUCCCACCAGCUGUGUAGGAAUACCCUAUCUUGUUUAUAAGAGCUUUGAUAAAUGCAAAAUAUUCGAAAAUAAUGUCCGAACAUAUAAUUUUGGCCCCGUAAUAUAGAAAAGAUAACGAAAAGGCUCGAAAAAGUACAUUACAAUCAAAAUUUGGAGAAGGAAAAAAACAAAUAGAAGAAUUCCAUUUUCCUUCCUCAUUCAUCGGAGAGCUCUCUUUGGGCUUUCCGAAAAGGUAUCACAUGUCAAGUUUAGCCUCACGGUCUUAAAGUUAUAGAGUCAUACAUUUUUAACAAAACAAAAAGAGGGAUGACACACGAGGACUUUCCUGGAGGUCACCCAUCCUAGUACUACUCUCGCCCAAGUACGCUUAACUGCAGAGUUCUGAUGGGAUCUGGUGCAUUAGUGUUGGUAUGAUCGCAUCCGUAACUACAUGCAAUGCAAUCGUAUCUAUUCUUUUUUGAAGACUUUAUGAUCGAUUUGCCGUGGGUCCCACCAGCUAUGUAGGAAUACCCUAUCUUGUUUGUAAGAGCUUUGAUACAUGCAAAAUAUACGAAAACAAUGUCCGUACAUAUAAUUUUUGCCCCGUAAUAUAGCAAAGAUUACGAAAAGGCCCGAAAAAGUACAUAAAGGUCAAAAUUUGGAGUAGAAAAAAAAACUAUAGAAGAAUUCCAUUGUCCUUCCUAAUUCAUCGGAGAGAUCUCUUUGGGUUUUCCGAAAAGGUAUUCACAUGCCAAGUUUGGCCUCACCGUCUAAAAGUUCUAGAGUCCAUACAAUUUUGACAAAAAAAAAGAGAAAA
rnacentral:sRNA from 1 species